AUUGAACGCUGGCGGCAGGCUUAACACAUGCAAGUCGAACGAAGAGGUCUAGCUUGCUAGACUGAUUAGUGGCGAACGGGUGAGUAACAUUUAGGAAUCUACCUUAUAGAGGGGGAUAGCUCGGGGAAACUCGAAUUAAUACCGCAUACGACCUAAGGGUGAAAGGGGGCAAUUGCUCUCGCUAUAAGAUGAGCCUAAACCAGAUUAGCUAGUUGGUGGGGUAAAGGCCUACCAAGGCGACGAUCUGUAGCUGGUCUGAGAGGAUGAUCAGCCACACUGGGACUGAGACACGGCCCAGACUCCUACGGGAGGCAGCAGUGGGGAAUAUUGGACAAUGGGCGAAAGCCUGAUCCAGCCAUGCCGCGUGUGUGAAGAAGGCCUUAUGGUUGUAAAGCACUUUAAGUGGGGAGGAAAAGCUUAUGGAUAACACCCAUAGGUUCUGACGUUACCCACAGAAUAAGCACCGGCUAACUCUGUGCCAGCAGCCGCGGUAAUACAGAGGGUGCGAGCGUUAAUCGGAAUUACUGGGCGUAAAGCGAGCGUAGGUGGUUUAUUAAGUCAGAUGUGAAAUCCCUGGGCUUAACCUAGGAACUGCAUCUGAUACUGAUAAACUAGAGUAGGUGAGAGGAAAGUAGAAUUCCAGGUGUAGCGGUGAAAUGCGUAGAGAUCUGGAGGAAUACCGAUGGCGAAGGCAGCUUUCUGGCAUCAUACUGACACUGAGGUUCGAAAGCGUGGGUAGCAAACAGGAUUAGAUACCCUGGUAGUCCACGCAGUAAACGAUGAUAACUGGGCGUAUGCGAUAUACAGUAUGCUCCUAAGCGAAAGCGUUAAGUUAUCCACCUGGGGAGUACGCCGGCAACGGUGAAACUCAAAGGAAUUGACGGGGGCCCGCACAAGCGGAGGAACAUGUGGUUUAAUUCGAUGAUACGCGAGGAACCUUACCCGGGAUUGAAAUGUAGAUGACCGCUCCUGAAAGGGAGUUUUCCUUCGGGACAUCUAUGUAGGUGCUGCAUGGUUGUCGUCAGCUCGUGCCGUGAGGUGUCGGCUUAAGUGCCAUAACGAGCGCAACCCCUGUCUACGGUUGCCAUCAGGUAAUGCUGGGAACUCCGUAGAGACUGCCGUCGUAAGGCGUGAGGAAGGUGGGGAUGACGUCAAAUCAGCACGGCCCUUACAUCCGGGGCGACACACGUGUUACAAUGGUAAGGACAAAGGGCAGCUACCUGGCGACAGGAUGCGAAUCUCUAAACCUUAUCACAGUUCGGAUCGGAGUCUGCAACUCGACUCCGUGAAGCUGGAUUCGCUAGUAAUCGCGCAUCAGCCAUGGCGCGGUGAAUACGUUCCCAGGCCU
rnacentral:rRNA from 1 species